rnacentral:rRNA from 1 species
UACAGAGGGGGCAAGCGUUGUUCGGAAUUACUGGGCGUAAAGGGCGCGUAGGUGGCCUUCUAAGUUGAACGUGAAAUCCCUGGGCUCAACCCAGGAACUGCGUCCAAGACUGGGAGGCUUGAAUCCGGGAGAGGGAUGCGGAAUUCCAGGUGUAGCGGUGAAAUGCGUAGAUAUCUGGAGGAAUACCGGUGGCGAAGGCGGCAUCCUGGACCGACAUUGACGCUGAACGGCGAAAGCUAGGGGAGCAAACGGG